UCUCGGAAAGCCUGCGCAUGCACUUUACGUGGAUUUGCAACAUCCGGUUACUGUUGCAUCAGCCUCCGCUUUGGGCGGAAGUGACUCAUCUUUGGGCGGAAGCGACCACCACCCCAGGUCCCCCUGCUGGUGUAAGCCUGGUACUGACAACUAGGCUAAAAGAAAAAUCUACUCGGCUUGCUACAAAGAAUCCAGGUAACACCCCUCAUUUUCGUACACGUUCCAGAUUUAUGUGAUCUGGGUUCAGGAAACUGACAAACUUCUGACUCAGUGCUCAGUACAUCCGAACACCAUUGCUCCUGCCAUCUUCAGAAAAAAAAACAAAUCACGGAUAAGCCUGUGAAACCAUGCUGAUCUUCCCUUACAGAUCAUUGCUGGAGAUUUGUGGAUCUUUAUUCAUAUUUU